UUGAUCUGAAAUAUAAAUCAAAGAGCGAGAAAAAGAGUGAAAAGUCAAAAUUGUAUUGGAAGAAAUGUGAAAUCAAAUACUAUGAAUUUUCUGGAAGUUGAGUCAAUACCAUAGGCUACAAAAAGCUAUAGGAUACUGUGGAGCCUUACUGCCUUAUAUGUACUAUAGGAGGGUGAUGAAGUAAUCAUACAUGCCUCACUAUAGCAAAGAGGUUUUUGUUUCAGAACUGAACAAAGCAGAAGAUUUAAGAAACGCUAGUGCUACAUAUUUUGAAAGUUUAGAACACAAGUUUUGUUAGAGGGCUUUUUCAUUCAACAUAAAGUACCUUUAUUGUCUUCUUUGCUAGAUCUCCACAACUUCUGGUAACAGUGGUCAAAACAUACAAACUCCUCAGACUAUCUGGUGAAACUCCAUCAAGAACAGGAGAAUUCCUACCAGCUCCAAUUUAAAUAAUUUACUGUAUAUAUAUAUGUCAAGAUUGAUUAAAAUGUCCACUAGAAAUCUUCAGAACAGACCUAUGUUACUCUCCAAGGCAUUUGGGUGUCAGAGUAUGUUUCUUCUGAAUUGUACUGAAAGCAACCAUGAAGUAAGAAAAAGCAGCUCCUACCUGUGCAAGUUAACAGUCUUUGCACAGUGAAGCAGUGAGUCUCACGUACAUG
rnacentral:lncRNA from 1 species